rnacentral:rRNA from 1 species
GACGAACGCUGGCGGCGUGCUUAACACAUGCAAGUCGAACGGAAAGGCCCUGCUUUUGUGGGGUGCUCGAGUGGCGAACGGGCGAGUAACACGUGAGUAACCUGCCCUUGACUUUGGGAUAACUUCGGGAAACUGGGGCUAAUACCGGAUAGGAGCUCCUGCUGCAUGGUGGGGGUUGGAAAGUUUCGGCGGUUGGGGAUGGACUCGCGGCUUAUCAGCUUGUUGGUGGGGUAGUGGCUUACCAAGGCUUUGACGGGUAGCCGGCCUGAGAGGGUGACCGGCCACAUUGGGACUGAGAUACGGCCCAGACUCCUACGGGAGGCAGCAGUGGGGAAUAUUGCACAAUGGGCGGAAGCCUGAUGCAGCAACGCCGCGUGCGGGAUGACGGCCUUCGGGUUGUAAACCGCUUUCGCCUGUGACGAAGCGUGAGUGACGGUAAUGGGUAAAGAAGCACCGGCUAACUACGUGC